UACGUAGGGUGCAAGCGUUGUCCGGAAUUAUUGGGCGUAAAGAGCUCGUAGGCGGUUUGUCGCGUCUGCUGUGAAAACUCGGGGCUCAACUCCGAGCUUGCAGUGGGUACGGGCAGACUAGAGUGCGGUAGGGGAGACUGGAAUUCCUGGUGUAGCGGUGAAAUGCGCAGAUAUCAGGAGGAACACCGAUGGCGAAGGCGGCUCACUGGUCCGGUACUGACGCUGAGGUGCGAAAGCGUGGGGAGCAAACAGG
rnacentral:rRNA from 1 species